rnacentral:rRNA from 1 species
UACGGAGGGUGCAAGCGUUAUUCGGAAUUACUGGGCGUAAAGCGCACGUAGGCGGCCUUGUAAGUCAGGGGUGAAAUCCCACGGCUCAACCGUGGAACUGCCUUUGAAACUGCAGGGCUUGAAUCCUGGAGAGGGUGGCGGAAUUCCUGGUGUAGGAGUGAAAUCCGUAGAUAUCAGGAGGAACACCAGUGGCGAAGGCGGCUCACUGGUCCGGUACUGACGCUGAGGUGCGAAAGCGUGGGGAGCAAACAGG